UGCAGUCGUACGAGAGUUUUUAACUCAAGUGGCGGACGGGUGAGUAACACGUAAGAAUUUGCCUUUAGGAGGGGGAYAACAACUGGAAACGGUUGCUAAUACCCCAUAUGCUUUCGAGUGAAAUGGAUUUUCCGCCUARAGAGAAGCUUGCGGCUGAUUAGCUUGUUGGURAGGUAAUGGCUUACCAAGGCGACGAUCAGUAUCUGGUUUGAGAGGAYGAUCAGACACACUGGAACUGAGACACGGUCCAGACUCCUACGGGAGGCAGCAGUGGGGAAUUUUCCGCAAUGGGCGAAAGCCUGACGGAGCAAUCUCGCGUGAGGGAUGACGGCCUAUGGGUUGUAAACCUCUUUUUUCAGGGAGGAAUMAAUGACGUGUACCUGAAGAAUAAGCAUCGGCUAACUCCGUGCCAGCAGCCGCGGUAAGACGGAGGAUGCAAGUGUUAUCCGGAAUCACUGGGCGUAAAGCGUCUGUAGGUGGUUUAAUAAGUCAACUGUUAAAUCUUGAAGCUCAACUUCAAAAUCGCAGUCGAAACUAUUAGACUAGAGUAUAGUAGGGGUAAAGGGAAUUUCCAGUGGAGCGGUGAAAUGCGUAGAGAUUGGAAAGAACACCGAUGGCGAAGGCACUUUACUGGGCUAUUACURACACUCAGAGACGAAAGCUAGGGUAGCAAAUGGGAUUAGAUACCCCAGUAGUCCUAGCCGUAAACAAUGGAUACUAGAUGUUGAACAGAUCGACCUGUGCAGUAUUAAAGCUAACGCGUUAAGUAUCCCGCCUGGGAAGUAUGCUCGCAAGAGUGAAACUCAAAGGAAUUNGANGGGGCCCGCACAAGCGGUGGA
rnacentral:rRNA from 1 species